rnacentral:rRNA from 1 species
UGCGUAGGCGGCGCGGUAAGUCGGGUGUGAAAUCUCGGGGCUUAACUCCGAAACUGCAUCCGAUACUGCCGUGAUUGAGGACUGGAGAGGAGACUGGAAUUUACGGUGUAGCGGUGAAAUGCGUAGAUAUCGUAAGGAAGACCAGUGGCGAAGGCGGGUCUCUGGACAGUUCCUGACGCUGAGGCACGAAGGCCAGGGGAGCAAACG